rnacentral:lncRNA from 1 species
GCAAAUACCAGUGAAUCUUUAACUCUACCCCUUCUCAGCUGAACUAAAACUUUUGGCUGUUUCUCUGAGCUUACACUACAAGGAAGCAGUGUAAUUUCCAUAUACCUCCAGAAAGCCAGCUGUGUAAGACAAACAGGAGUCGGAUGCCUCCAUAGCACUUUUUGUGGUAGGAGGUGCUUGCAAUAGUGCUAGCUCUGAGUUGUUACCUACUGCUUACUCUUGACUGUGAUUAUGAAGAGUACGCCUCAUAUGUCUUUUUACUGCAAUGGUUUUAUUGGAAGCAUCUGAAGAGACUGUGACAUCCAUAUUUACAAAGAAAUGAAAGAAGAUAAUGCUGGUAGGAUUAUACUGAAGAAAGAAAUCCAAAUCAUCUCACCUACAUAAGUGGAGAACUAAGGGGUGAAGAGGAUGAGUGGCCUUUAAAAUGUCGUCUUGUGGUCAUCAAAGUGGCAAAAGGCAAUCUCGUAAACCUUCUAAUGUUGGAGGCUGAUGGCCAGGUCAAUGACCAUACAGAACAAUGGUGGCAACCUCAAACGUGGUUAGGAGGGUUAUUACUGAAAACUGAAUCUCGACAUGAGCCUAAGAAAUAAGUGCUAACUGACUCUAAAAACUAGAGGACAACUCUGUGAAUACCACCGCAAAUACCACUGGCAAGAGACACGUCUCCAAGCUGUCUUCAGACUCCAGAGUAAAUAAAUAAAAUAUUUCAGAGAGAAGAGGCCUGUAUACGUUGGCAGCAUUGCUUGACUUUGUGUGUAAAACCAAGCACGAUUUGAACUUCCACUAGGUAGACACCAACACAAGAAACUCAUUUAAACUGGUCAAAUUCUAACAAACAUUUUCUGUGAAGUUUUGGUGAGCUGGAGUUUGCCAGAAGUUUUUCCAGGAAUUAACAACCUCCAAAGACUGCAAACACUUUUUCUUCUGAACAUCUCUGCCCAGAAUCUUUCUCCAAAACUCAUAAAGCAAGAACUUGAGAAAACCUGCUUGAAAAGCAGUCUGCUUUGUAAAAAUAUAGUAGGAUCUCACUAGACUUUGAAGCAAGGGAGAACCAAAAUAAAGGCAGUGAAGACAUUACCCUCACUGUGUUUCCAAAUACUAUUGGAGAAAAUGCAAAAGCUUUAAGCAUAAUACUAGGGGUUGGUCGUUUAUCUAUUCACCUUCUUCUACUUCAAACCUACUGAUUUCUCUGCAUGAAAGUCAUAAGCUGAUCUUAGCUCAUCUCUGAUUAAGGAUGGUCCUUUGGUCCUCUUGGAUAGUCCUCUUCAUAUUCCAUGUCCCCACAGUUAGUCCUUGGUAAUCAAGCCUUGGCUUAUACACAUGCCAAUCCACCCCCAAAAAGCAAACAAAUAUAACAACUACAUUGAGAAUGAGAUAAUGUUACUCUGUGAUCACAGUUAUUGUGUUACCUUACACUUUCAGUGGGUCAGUUAUCUCUCUGGAGUAGUUAAAAAUGUUCUGUUGGCCCAUUGACUCGGUGGUAUAUUUGCUCGCUUCUAGCAAGCCUAAUGGACUAAUAUCAGUGGACAUUUAUUCUUGGAAGAGAUACACUUGCCAAGAUUUUAGGUCUUUGGCGAAAAUCAGCUCUGUACAGGAGUUAGGGUUUGUUAGAGUUGUUGUUUGUUUGUUUGUUUAACAUGAGAAGAAAUAAACAUUAUUUUUAACUUUGAAGAGACUUUAACUUCAGACACUGCCUGUGCACAGCCCCAGAGAGGACAAGGGCCAUGAGAAAUGUGAUGACAUUUGGUUGCAUAAUUUUGAAUUGAAUGAGAUUUACAUAUGUUUUUAGUACAAACAAAGCAAGAAACAAGCAUUCUUGGAGGAUACUCUUUUAGCAAAUGUUCAAAAAUUUGGUGAGCACAGCUACAUUACAUCUAAAGUCAAAAAUCUUAAGAGGCAAGUAUGUAAGAUAAGAUGAUCAUUUCCAUCUAUACAGUUAUUCAUGUUCUCUUGUCUUUUAGGACCAUAUAGCUUAACUAUAAUCUCUCAACACUUGAACUUUGAGCUACUUUGAUCAUACUUACUUUCACAGGGCAUACUGAAGAGUGGUUAAUUCUGUGGUACGUGAAAUUUGCACAAUACUUCUUUUUUCUUAAUGGAACACAUUUUUAGUAUUUUGCAAGCAAUCCACAAGUUAUUACUUCACGUUUGGUUUUAAAAUACAGUUUGGAAAAUCAAAACAAGUUUUGACUACACAUUAAUCAUACAGAGAAAAAAAUUCAAUACAAAAUAAAUUAAAGUAGCUUCCCAGGGGAAAUGUUUAAUCAGUUUCAAGUGUUUUUAAGAAGAAUGAGAAAUGAUGAAAAGCCUUUUACAGAAAGUGUUAAAUCAGUUAAUAAAUUUUUUGACUGCAUCUGCAUAAAUAGUUAUAGAUAAUUUAAACCAGCUUUCAAAGUAGUACAGUAAGAUAGGCUUUGGCAUAGAGUAGAAUAUGGCAUGAACAGAAAGAAGGUUCUGUUUUUACUUCCUUUCUUUCCUUCUUUUCCUGUUGCACAUAAAUAUUUGUAUCUCACUUUGAUCUAUCAUCAAAUCAUGUAUGACAGAAGUCUUGACCUGUUGGUUACCAACAACUAUUUGAUAUUGGUUAUGGCCACAGGAAAAUCAAAAGUAAAAUCUAGUAAAUAAAUUAUAAUUGCCAAAAAAAGAAAGAGUGUGCCUUCAUUAUAUUUUUCUUGUUACUGUUAUCCCUGUUCUGCCUUCUAAUUGGAAUCACAGAGUCUCCUUGCUUAGAAGAGGUUCCCAAUUAUAACCAGCACACAGGCAUACUGGCCACUUCCGAAUGUGAUUUUUGUUGCAUUAACCUUAAGCUCAGGCCUAAACGCUGUCCUUCUUAGGAAAGAAUAAAAUUCCUGGAUCAGUUCUGUAUGUAGAAAUCUUCAUAUCUUCUGGACUCUAGAUCUUGCAGUUACAAUGCCUUCAGGCAUAACCUUGCCUUCAGCUAGAUGCCUGAGUUCAUUACAACUCAUAGGCUGUCCAUCAGUCCAUAUGUUACUGAAUACUAUGUCUCAGUUUAUAAAUUUCCUUGUACAGGGUCAGCCUUUGUUGUUACUGAAUUAUACUGUGUCAAGUACAGUGUGGCUUCAACCCCUUUGAGUUGUUUUAUUGGUCUAAGAACUUUAUCUCUGCUGUCAUGUAACAGUGGCUCCAAUCUAAUACUGUGGAUCAGACAAUCUAAAAGAGGAGAUGCAACACUCAUGGACAUUUCCGAAGCACAGAAUGCUAGAGUCACUUAAUGCUAGAGUUACUUCCUUGAGUUACUUCCUGUGUUCUGCACCAAAACUCACUUGAUAGAUGAUAAGGAAAAAAUACAAAUUCCAAAAUAAAUUAGUCCAAAUACCCAGGAAACUUGGUAUCCCUUUGUUCCUACAUCAUCUCUACCCACAAUUCUAUUCUGUUCUAUACCAGAUUACAAGUCAAAGCUCAUCAUUACCUUCUUUUUCUCAUGAACAGAGUAACAUAAUCUUCAGUCGAGACUUUUUUCCAUAUUCCUUCAUUUCCAUGACCUACUUAUGAAAGUAAUCCUCAAUUUCUUGGAGACUGCAAUUCUCACUAAAUUCUAAUUAAUGAAAGACUGCUGAAAGCCAGCCACAGAAAUCAUCUGUUAGAAGACUUUGUACAUGCUAGAUUUGUAAGGGUCCAUAUAUGCAUCUACAGCACCUUGUCUGUGACAGUGGUAGUGAAAAUGUCUUUCAUUUCUCUUCAUCAGUGCAUUUUAUUUAAAUGCUUAGUUUCUAUCAUUUAGUCCCAAUGUUGAAGUUUCUAAAUAAUUAUCAGAAAAAAAUAACUGUCAAAAACAAAACAUUGAAAUUAUAUCUAAAGGUUGGUACAGAUGCCAGCAAAUAUCUUCUAAAUGGAAUUUAGGAUAUGGUAUGCCCUCAGAUGUAAGAAAUUACAAGACCAACUUGACUAAUUGAACCAAAAAAAUUUCCAUCAAACAACUUUGUACCAGGUAUCUAAGCUAUCUCAGGGAGUCAUGAAAGUGAUGGGCAAGGCUUGAUCAGUAUCUGUUCUGGGGAACUUAGCCUCAGAACACAUCACCUUGGCCAUAUAUUUCAUCACCUUGUUGAUCAAAGAAAAGCAUUCACUUAUUUGACAUAUCUUUCCCACAAGAAGUGCAAUCUACAGAAAAGCAACACAAAUCCUUAACUAAAUAGCCACAAGCAAAAGAUAAAACAAAACCCUCAACAUUUUGUUUCACCUGAAAUCUCUUUUCUUUACUUCUUUAUUGUCUAUGUCUCCCUUUGACAAUAUACCCUUUUUGUCUCUUUGUCUCUCUCUCCUAUAUUAUGUUUAGGUUGAUUUUAUUCCAUCCAUUGGUCUCACCUGGAAUUUUUGUAGAGAUUUACAUGGGAUUUUCAUAGUCAAUUGCAUAGUAUGAUAGGGUUUAAUGGCCAGUGAACCAUUGUGCUGUAUCUCCCAAGUCUCUGAAGAGUUAAAAGCUCUGGCAUUGACUGUAGCACAAAGGGAAGGCUAGCCACGGAUUCCAGCAUUGCUUUUUAUUAUGUUGCAGCUGUACUGCACUCAAUUCUACUUGGAAAACUUCCUGAACGAGAAUCUAUUUCCCUCACUUCACUUUUGGAAUAUGUACUGUUUUGGUUUUUGGCUCAUCUUUGAAGCAAUGUUCUUUUUGUCAGUAUUGAAGGAAUGAAGGGUAUAUUUAAAGAAUAAACUGUUGGGAUGUGUUUGGUGAUUUUGAUUUAGGAUGUAGGAAUAAGGUUCUCAAGGGAUGGAAAACUUGAACUCUAAAAAUAAUGACCAUCUAAAUUUUGGUGGAGGUAUUAUUAUUGCAUUGACUCAUAUGGUCUCUACUUGGUUACAUUUCUACUUAGGAAUGGGGCAUUCAUUUACAAUGCAACAAUAUUUAUAGUAGUUACAAGCCAUAAGCACUUUCUUCCAGUGGUUAUUUAAAUAAUGUUAAUAAAAUUCAUAUAUAGCACAAUGUAUUAACUCUCAUGCCUAGAAAACACAUUAGCCAGAAUUUAACUUAAUACAGUUCUUAAAGAUAGAUACGAAGUCACUUGUGCAAUUUUUAGGUGGGUGUAAAUUCUGAAUAAAUUUUGUGUAUGUGUAGGUCACCUUUCUCUGCAUUGAAGGUUUUCCAAAAGACAACUCUUGAUUGCUGUCUCCUCUGUGGAACCUUAACAGAGCUAAACCUGAAGAAAUACAAUGCAGUUUCUCCAUAGAAAAACUAUAGUGUACUUGUCCCACUGAAUCCCAACUGUAUUAGCUCCUCAGACUCAGGAAUUGCACUACAGUGGGGUUGGGAUUUGAAUGUAAAUAUUUUCUUUGUAAAAAUAGCAACCUGGAGAGAAAUCAGCAACCCAACUCAGUUAUAGGCUAACAUUACCAAUUUAUUCACUGCCUACAGGCAUUUAUACAUAUGUAAUGGUUUGCUUCACUGCAGUGUAAAGGUAAUCCAUAAAGCAGAACAGAAUUUUUCAAAGAAGUUGGCCAAGUUCUGCCAUUUAUUUGUAUUGUGGGCUACAAUUAUGAAGUUGGAAAGUAAAUUUUUCAACAUAAUCUGAAAAGAAAGUUGUCCCUAACGUAGGAAAAUCCAAGAAAACAAAGCUCAUUCUUCAUCAGGAUAAAGUAAGGAUCAAUCUUGACCAUAAGGGGGAAAGAUGUUCCAGAUUUCAUUAGAAAGUGUCAGCUUUCACAAUUAGGGAAUUUUUUUUGACUGAUACCAGCUGAGUUCUGUAGCAGACAGUGAGAAUCUCUGUGGUUGGAGAAAAGGAAUCAGACUUUUCAUGAUAUGUUAUAGGAUUUUCAUGUCUGUGCCUUAGAACUAGGAGUAGAUAUUGACCAGUGACAUUCACUCGUAUGUGUUUUAAAAGUAAACUUUCAGCUUUCACCUUGUACUGAGUCAAAUGACAACUCACAGCCAUUGUAACACCUGGACAAAUUAUGAUAAGCUCUCUACAGUGAGCUACACAAUGUCAAUCUCUUAACCGCAUGUAUUUAAAAUGAGGUAUUUUGGUUUGCAAGCACAGUUGCAAAGUUUCCAAAAUAAAUCCAUUUUCUUCCCUUUCUCUACUUAAGCCAUUAAUUUGUAUUCUCUUCACUUAAUUAUGUUGUUGCUUUUCCAGGAAAACAGAACAUUUAAUCUCUUACUAAAUCAGAAAAGUAAGAAUUUCUUACUGCAUCCCUAAUCUGACCAGUGCUGCUAAAUUGGUCAAUUUAUGUACCUUCUUGCUCUCUUAAGCACAGUUUCUCUCCAGAAACAAGACUUUUUAUAGCAAAAGAGCUCGAAGUAAAUGGUUCAUUCCACUAUCCUGCCUGAUAAGAUUUUGGACUGAGUACAUUUAAAAUAUUCUUUUAUUGCCCCGUAAUAGAUUUUAGACAUGCAUUUGUUUUUGUAGUGAUCAAAGAGAUAUGGAUACGUUUGUCAUCUGUUACAGAUCUGGAUGCAAUACAAGGAAAGGAAAGCUCCCUGAUGUAUCUGGCAUGAAGCUGUUUUCACCCAUUUAUGGAUACUCAACUAGUUUACAGCAAAGGGGCCCUAGUCUAGCAAAAGUGCCAUAUUCAUAUACUCAACUUCAUGCCCAUGAUCAGCAGAUGAACUUCCUAAGAUCCGCUCUCCAGGUAGCAAGCUUAGAACACAUUUCAGACUUUGAAUUCCUGAAAACUUCACUGAGACUUGAUUGCCUGUUUGUCCUGAUACUUACAUUAAACUUAAAGUUCAGCAAAAGGUUUGCCACCUGUAGCAUGCCUUUGGAUGACACAGGCAUCAAUUCUUUGUAUAUCUGCACUGGGUGGACAGCAUAAGAAAGCCUAAAUUAAGCAGUACCUCCUGUGAAAAAGUGAAAAACAGUAUUUCUGCAGACUUGAAGAGGAAGGAGGCUGAAUUGCCAGUGCCUAGUAGAGGAAGUCAGGAGGAUGAAGUGACCUAUUCCAAGUGCAGGAUGGCAGUUUUUUAUUUUUUUCCUCUGUCCUACGUGAGGAUAUGAACCAAGGAUUCCUGAGUAACACUUUCAUUACUUAAUCUGUCUUUGGUAACCCUAAUGCUCAACUGUUUUUGCUUAGGGUCUCUGGUAGCUCCAUAGCUGUAAUGCAAAAAAGAUUGAUGUUAAAAUACUGUUUAUUUUAUGAAGUUGGCAGAAGAAUAUUUUGAAAAUCACAGCAUACACUGGGUCCCAGGGCUCUAGUCAUGUUUUUGAAUAUAUUUAAAGAGAUUCUUUACUCAAGAUAUAAUACUUGUCCCAAGCCACUUAAAGAGUUGGAAAAAUUGAAUAUUUUGCAUCUGAAUAAGGAGCCAAAUUCACAGUAUGAGAUACUUAUCAUAUAUAAAAUUUGACAGAGACUAAAAUAUCUACCUGUUAACUUAUUUUCAGAGAUUUUUUUUUAUCGCAGUGUGUACAUGUCUUUUAUGAAUUUUUAAUCUAUUUUAUUUGUACAGAAAAGAGGAAGCUUAAAAAAGGGUCAGAGAAGGUUCCUUUUUUGUUUAUUUCAGGAAAUACGUGUCUUUUUAAAGUAGAUUUAAAUUGGUUCCAUUAUUCAAAACAUAUUAAAAAAAUCUUAAAUGCUUUGAGAAAUUCUAUUCAAAAAUGGUCAGUAAAAUGAGUUUUAUAGCUAAUAAUAUAUCACAGCUUUGAUACCAAGAAAGCUGUUGAAGAAACUGUCAAUCAUUCAUUUACUUCCAGUUCAAAUGCAGAUCCUUACGAGGAUGACAUCUCACUACCCUGACAUCUGGAACGUAGCAACAAAAUGCUGCUGGCUCAGAGAAACAGGAGCAACAUGUAAUAUUCAUUGCCAAAUGUCACUUAGCAACAUAACUUGUACAUUGGAGGAAAAUUUGCAUCAGCCAUACCUACCCC